rnacentral:snRNA from 1 species
GGAUGUGAGGGAGAUCUGGCUGUGACACCUGUCACCCCAUUGAUCGCCAGGGUUGAUUUGACUGAUCUGGCUGGCUAGGCGGGUGUCCCCUUCCCUCACCAAUCCAUGUUCGUCCCUCCCAAAGCUGUGCUCUCUUGGUCAAAGAGGAUGGCCUUCUCAGAAUAGAGACGGACAGGUCUUCCUUAGGUCGAGGGUAAAUGAGUAGCUGCACUCCCCUACUAGAACCUCCAAACAAGCUCUCAAGAUGUGUUUGUAUAUGUCUGUGUAACCACUUACUUAUUUUAUGAAAGAUCAGAGCACAACUC